UAGGGAGGGUGCAAGCGUUAUCCGGAAUCACUGGGUUUAAAGGGUGCGUAGGCGGCUUGGUAAGUCAGAGGUGAAAGCCCGCAGCUUAACUGCGGAACUGCCUUUGAUACUGCCGAGCUUGAAAGAGGUUGAGGUCAGCGGAACGUGACAUGUAGCGGUGAAAUGCAUAGAUAUGUCACAGAACACCAAUUGCGAAGGCAGCUGGCUGGGCCUACUUUGACGCUGAGGCACGACAGCGUGGGGAGCUAACAGG
rnacentral:rRNA from 1 species